UGGGAGGGGCGGGGCGCACGCAGGGGAAGCCGCGGAGAUGGUACAAUCCAGUCACUGGGCUCCCAACCCCCCUCCCGUCGGUUCAAGUUUCUGCGCCCGCAGGACGCGGCCUUGGCCAAUCCCAGGGCUACAGGGCGCUUUUAAAAUGCAGUCUUUCCACAGCCUGUAAGUCUGCCUCGUUAUCUUCGGGCUCCCAAAGAGCAUUUACUGCGCGUCUGCGGCGAGCUGGGUCCAGCGAGGCGUCCCUCCCCCAAAACCCACAAGGAGAUAAACCCCGCGUCUGCGACAGUGAACCACCACCGCCUGGAGCGAGCUCCGAUGCUCAACUGCUCCUUCCGCAACUGCACACCCUGUGCCCACCUGCCGCAGGCCUGUGCCACCCCCACCCGCCACCGCCAGCGCCCCUGGGGUUUCUGUCGCGGAUUAGACAAAAGAGGCACGGCCCUCCGGGGGCACUUGGCAUUCUGGGAGGAGGGGCCAGGGGAGGUGAUAAACAAACUAGAUAACUGUCCUAAGUGCCCGCUGGGAAUUAAGUCAACCUGCUGCGGUCAGGUCACCGAGAGCCAGCGGUCACGGAGGGUCUCUGGAGGCGCCUCUAAGCUGAGACUGGAGCAAGGACAGAGACAAGGGGAGGGCAUGGGGGGAAGCAGCUAGUGCAAAGGUAGCCCGUCAGUGGGGCUGGGGUGCACAAUGAGGUCAGAGGUCAGGGGCUAGGAAAGCAGUGGGAGGUUUCACAGGGAGGCCACUUAGCCCAGUAUGCUCUGGCCCCUGUGUGAAGAAGGGAUGGGGGAGGACAUAGCACAGAGAGGGCCCAGUUCAAUCCACCCCUUUCUCCAGAUAGAUAGGCAGGAGAGUGUGGUGGGGAGAUGGUGAGCCCAAGAGGCACAGCUUCUAGAAUUAAACUCCAGACAGAGGACACCCCGCUGCUGGAGCAUGUGUUCUGCUGCCCCAGUGGAGUCUGAGUUUAGAGAGGAAGGGGGGUCCGUCUUGGGCCUGGGGAGGCUACAGGUCUGUCUCCAACUACUCUGGGAGAUGGAAGAGUGAGGGGUCACAGAGACAGUCCUGCACUUGGUGGGAACCUGCUUCCUGCCCUAGGCGGUAUCAGAGCUCUCAGUCUGUCCCCUGACCCCCCAGGGCUGGCUGGCAGUUUUGGCUGAACUUUCCGAGGCAAAAAAGGAAGCUUCCAUCUAGAUGGCAGAGCGUCCUUGGCCAAGACCCUCAAAAGCUUUGCUAACAUCCUCCUGCAGAGCAAAGAUAGGGAUCAGAGCUCAGUCUCCUCCAGUGUUUGACGGUCUCACACAGAGAGCCUGGAACGAGAGCCAAGAGCCGCAAAAGCCUUAAUUGUUAACAUGGCUUCAGCUGGCUGCAGGCCCAGCCCUCCUAGACCCCUCCUGUUUUGGACAACAGCAGUGACAGCAAUUCCUCCCGCAUCCCAGGCCUUGUCCCGACCUGGUCCAGUAAAUGCAGAAGAAUGGGAAGUGGAUAUCUCUGGAAGAAGGAAUCCGGUGGGGGCAGACAAAGCAGUGGACUUUUCAAUCAUUUUAUCUUUGGUGGAUCAGCAGAUGGCAUAAUGGUUACAUUGCUGGACUCCCAUGUACCCGACUGCAGUUCAAG